UGGGAGUCUUUAUAGUCCUCAGGGUUGUGCACUUUGUCGCUGACAGCUGUCCUUCCUUCGUGGGUGAUACUACAGCAAUGAUGGUCACUGUGAUGAUCUUUGCGCUGCUCUGCUUCCAAGGAUCCAGGGGUCAAAUCACUGUGACUCAGAGUCCUGAAGCGACAGCUGUUCUCGCAGGACAGACAGUCAGUGUGAGCUGUAGAACCAGUUCUGCUGUUCACAAUAACUGUUACUAUGGUUCAUCAGGGGGUAAGCAGUGUUUAGCCUGGUACCUUCAGAAACCUGGAGAAGCUCCUAAACUCCUCAUCUACUCAGGAAGUUACCGUGAGUCAGGGAUUCCAGAUCGAUUCAGUGGCAGUGGAUCUGGAUCCGACUUCACUCUGACCAUCAGUGGAGUCCAGGCUGAAGAUGCAGGACAUUAUUACUGUCAGAGUUGGCACAUCAUCAGCAGUAGCUGGGUGGCCACGUUCGGCGGAGGAACCAGGCUGGAGGUUGGAAGCGAUGCUACCCCCGUCCUCACGGUCCUGCCCCCCUCUAGUCAAGAGGUGUCCGGUAAGAACGAGGCCACGCUGACGUGUCUGGCCAACAAGGGCUUCCCCUCUAACUGGAAGCUGCAGUGGACGGUGGACGGCAGCGCCAGGACCGGGGACAUGAGCCACGGAAUCCUGGACAAGGACGGCAAGUACAGCUGGAGCAACACGCUGAGCCUCUCUGCGGGCGAGUGGUCCAAGGUGGUUUCGGUGAGCUGCAAGGCCACUCGGGACUCCCAGACUCCCGUCAUCGAGACGCUCAGGAGAUCCGACUGUUCCGCGUAGACGGGCGCCCGCCCGAUUACUCUGUUUUUACUCUGUUUUUACUCUGUUCCGUGUUCCACUCUCACCUGUUUUACUAACAACACAGAGGUUAAUAAUGUGCUUUGCUUACAUGUGAAACCCUUCACCCUCAGCUUGUCACUAUUAUCUAGUGUGUCCUCUGCUUCUCUUUGACAUCAGACUGUCUGUGUUACGCUGUGUGAUCUUGUGCUUCAAUAAUAUCUGAAAUGCAGCUGAGAAUAAUAAAGAUUUUUUCAAUCAAACACA